AGCUCCAAUAGCGUAUAUUAAAGUUGUUGCAGUUAAAUAGCUCGUAGUUGAAUUUUGGGCCGAGCUUGGUGGUCAGGCCGAUGGUCUGUACUGCCAGUUCGGUCUUUCCUUCUGGGGAACGCGUGUGCCCUUCACUGGGUGUGCGCGGGAUCCAGGACUUUUACUUUGAAAAAAUUAGAGUGUUUAAAGCGGGCAUUUGCAUGAAUACAUUAGCAUGGAAUAAUAGAAUAGGACUUUGGUUCUAUUUUGUUGGUUUCUAGGACCGAAGUAAUGAUUAAUAGGGAUAGUUGGGGGCAUUAGUAUUUAAUUGUCAGAGGUGAAAUUCUUGGAUUUAUGAAAGACUAACUUCUGCGAAAGCAUUUGCCAAGGAUGUUUUCA
rnacentral:rRNA from 1 species